AUUGAACGCUGGCGGCAGGCCUAACACAUGCAAGUCGAGCGAGCGGCGGACGGGUGAGUAAUGUAUGGGGACUGCCCGUUAGAGGGGGAUAACUACUGGAAACGGUGGCUAAUACAGCAUACUAUCGGAUAACCCAUAUGGGAUUGGCUAGUAGGUGGGGUAAAGACUCACCUAGGCGACGAUCUCUAGCUGGUCUGAGAGGAGGAUCAGCCACACUGGGACUGAGACACGGCCCAGACUCCGACGGCGGCAGCAGUGGGGAAGAUUGCACAAUGGGCGCACGCCGGAUGCAGCCAUGCCGCGUGUAUGAAGAAGGACUUAGGGUUGUAAAGUACUUUCAGCGGGGAGGAGUUACCCGCAUAAGAAGCACCGGCUAACUCCGUGCCAGCCGCCGCGGUAAUUC
rnacentral:rRNA from 1 species